rnacentral:rRNA from 1 species
AGAGUUUGAUCCUGGCUCAGAUUGAACGCUGGCGGCAGGCCUAACACAUGCAAGUCGAGCGGUAGAGAGAAGCUUGCUUCUCUUGAGAGCGGCGGACGGGUGAGUAAUGCCUAGGAAUCUGCCUGGUAGUGGGGGAUAACGUUCGGAAACGGACGCUAAUACCGCAUACGUCCUACGGGAGAAAGCAGGGGACCUUCGGGCCUUGCGCUAUCAGAUGAGCCUAGGUCGGAUUAGCUAGUUGGUGAGGUAAUGGCUCACCAAGGCGACGAUCCGUAACUGGUCUGAGAGGAUGAUCAGUCACACUGGAACUGAGACACGGUCCAGACUCCUACGGGAGGCAGCAGUGGGGAAUAUUGGACAAUGGGCNAAAGCCUGAUCCAGCCNUGCCGCGUGUGUGAANAAGGUCUUCGGAUUGUAAAGCACUUUAAGUUGGGAGGAAGGGCAUUAACCUAAUACGUUAGUGUUUUGACGUUACCGACAGAAUAAGCACCGGCUAACUCUGUGCCAGCAGCCGCGGUAAUACAGAGGGUGCAAGCGUUAAUCGGAAUUACUGGGCGUAAAGCGCGCGUAGGUGGUUUGUUAAGUUGGAUGUGAAAUCCCCGGGCUCAACCUGGGAACUGCAUUCAAAACUGACUGACUAGAGUAUGGUAGAGGGUGGUGGAAUUUCCUGUGUAGCGGUGAAAUGCGUANAUAUAGGAAGGAACACCAGUGGCGAAGGCGANCACCUGGACUAAUACUGACNCUGANGUGCGAAAGCGUGGGGAGCA